rnacentral:lncRNA from 1 species
CGCCACAUUAUUUAUGUAUGUGCCUGUCCCAAGUCAGAAGCCUGUAAUUCAGUGGUUGUCGUUUGUUUAUGAGUUACAUAUUUGUUUUUCGUUCAUUUUUUUACAUAAACGAGGCCGUUAGUUUUCUCGUUUGAAUUGUUUUACAUUGUCUUAUCGGGGCCUUUUAUAGCUGACUAUGCGGUAUGGGCUUUGCUCAUUGUUGAAGGCCGUAC